ACUGGGAGAGGGAGGCAGGGUUCGGUUCAGUCGCCGUCCCGCGCGCCGGCGCCGCGGCCUUCGGCCCGGCGGUGGAGUCGCGGGGCGCGUGAUGGGAAGGCUGAGGUGGUGUUCGACGCAGGGCUCCGCCCUUGCUGAGCUCGUGGAAAGGUGUUUGAAAAUGAGGGAGCCACAAAGGGACAGAUGCUCCUUGGUUUGGAAAAUUUGGGAUUGGAAUGAGAAGGAAGAUGCAUGAAGAGUAUACCUCACAUUGUGCUGCGGAGAGAACCACUUACUGCUGUCAUAGAUGCCUCUAUUUAUUUUCAUUGUGUCCCUCAAGGUGUUUAAAUUUUGAUAAAGAGAAAUCCAUUUCUCUCCAUUUUAGAGGAAAUGAUGAACUAGCUUUGUCCUAAUGGGAGAUGUGGACAGAGAAACCCUCUGUCACUGAUAUCUUUUGUGUGAGAUGAGAUUGUGAGAUCACAUUUUGCCUCUUUCCUACUGCCCCUCCAUCCUGUAUAAUGUUUAUGUCUGGUUCUGACAAUCUCAUUAUCAGAACUUUCAACAUAUGGAAUGAGAAAGAAAAAAAUGACCACCACAGGAUCAAAUUUCACUUCUAAUCUGGGGAAAAUAGGAGUCUGCUUUUCAAAACUUUUUAAUUUUUAUGUAUUUUAUUUAUUUUUUUUCAAAGUAAAAGUUAUUAAAAGAAUAA